UUAUUUACUCCAUUUGUUCCCCUGGUCUAUUUAAUUUGAUUGGUGAUUCGUUCAUUUACCUGUUUAUUUCGGUGCUCGCUAUGGUUAGGAUUUGAUUCAUUGUAUAAUUUUGUUGUGUUCUUUAGGGUCCAAUCGAAUUGGAGCAUAGGGGGCCUGGUGUAGGAAUCCAGAAAUUGUGAUCUGAAGGGUUAGUCGAGUUGGAGCAAGGGAGCACGAUGCAAGAAUCGAGAAGUUCAGAUCUGUUUCUAGGUAUCUCGUGGUGUUACAAGACCUUGCUGCUAUUUUGUUUUGCUUGUUGGAGCGAGCAUCUCACUGGCAUCUAGGUUUACAUGAACCACAGCUCAGUUUUUGGGGAAAAGAAGGUGAAUGAUUGCGAUUACGCUAAGCAAAAUUAGCUUAGGGGAAGCAACAGGAACAUUGUAGUUCAGUUUUUUUCCUUUCAAUGAUGUACCUAUAAGCAUCACAAUGUUAUUUCGGUUCAAUCCCUUAGUAGUUCUCUCUUGCAAUGUGUA